rnacentral:rRNA from 1 species
UGGGGAAUUUUGGACAAUGGGGGAAACCCUGAUCCAGCAACGCCGCGUGAAUGAAGAAGGCCUUCGGGUUGUAAAGUUCUUUUGUCCAUGGUCAAAGCUUAUGUGUGAAUAGCAUAUGAGGAUGAGAGUAGUGGAAGAAUAAGCACCGGCUAACUACGUGCCAGCAGCCGCGGUAAUACGUAGGGUGCGAGCGUUAAUCGGAAUUACUGGGCGUAAAGGGUGAGUAGGCGGUUAUAUAAGUUAGAUGUGAAAUACCUGAGCUUAACUUGGGAAGGUCAUUUAAGACUGUAUGACUAGAGUAAUUAAGAGGGGUGAAGAAUUCCAAGUGUAGCAGUGAAAUGCGUAGAUAUUUGGAGGAAUACCGAUGGCGAAGGCAUCGCCCUGGUAUAGUACUGACGCUGAAUCACGAAAGCGUGGGUAGCAAACAG